AUUGAACGCUGGCGGCAUGCCUUACACAUGCAAGUCGAACGGUAACAGGUCUUCGGAUGCUGACGAGUGGCGAACGGGUGAGUAAUACAUUGGAACGUGCCCGAGAGUGGGGGAUAACGAGGCGAAAGCUUUGCUAAUACCGCAUACGAUCUCAGGAUGAAAGCAGGGGACCGCAAGGCCUUGCGCUCACGGAGCGGCCGAUGGCAGAUUAGGUAGUUGGUGGGAUAAAAGCUUACCAAGCCGACGAUCUGUAGCUGGUCUGAGAGGACGACCAGCCACACUGGGACUGAGACACGGCCCAGACUCCUACGGGAGGCAGCAGUGGGGAAUUUUGGACAAUGGGCGCAAGCCUGAUUCAGCCAUGCCGCGUGCAGGAUGAAGGCCUUCGGGUUGUAAACUGCUUUUGUACGGAACGAAAAGACUCUUUCUAAUAAAGAGGGUCCAUGACGGUACCGUAAGAAUAAGCACCGGCUAACUACGUGCCAGCCGCCGCCGUAACAC
rnacentral:rRNA from 1 species